UUUUGAUGGUAUUUGUAGUGGAAAUCAUUCAAAUUUCUGUGAUGGUUUAUUGUUUUUGUCAGCAGGGUCACCAUGGGUUUUGUUAUGUGGCAGCAGAACAGAAGUCAC